CAAAGAGGUUAUGUGAACACAUGCGGAGAUGACUGUGACCUACAAGCCAAGGGAAGAGGACUUAGAAUAAAACCUACCUUGCUGGCACCUUGAUCUUGGACCUUCCAGCCUCUAGAACUGUUCCCAAUAACUGUGUGUCACCUUCAACAAGAUCUCUAGCCUCUUUGGGUUUUUCAGCGUUUUCUCCACUGUAACAAGAAUAAUGGCUCUCGCCACUUCUCUGCCUCUAAGGGUGUUGUCAGAAUUAAUGAGACAUCAGGGUGAAAAGCUUUCUACAUUUUUUUCCCCUCAGAGAAUGCUGGAAAAAAAAAUAGAAGUAAUAUCUGUAUUUUGUGAAGAACUUUUCUUUCUGC
rnacentral:lncRNA from 10 species